rnacentral:rRNA from 1 species
AGGCAUGCAAGUCGAAUGGGUUCAGACCCAUGGCAGACGAGGUAGGAACACGUGGGUACGCACCCCAAAGUCAGGGAUAACCCGGCGAAAGUCGGAGUAAUACUUGAUAGUCCCUCAGGGGUAAAGAUUAUCGCUUUGGGAGCGGCCCGCGGUCUAUCAGCUUGUUGGUACGGUAACGGCGUACCAAGGCUACGACGGAUAGGGGAGGUGAGAGCCUGACCCCCACCGAUGGAACUGCGACACGGUCCAUACUCCUACGGGAGGCUGCAGUCGAGAAUCAUCCGCAAUGGACGAAAGUCUGACGGUGCGACGCCGCGUGGUGGACGAAGUGCUUCGGCACGUAAACACCUUUUAUGAGGGAGGAAGUUUAUUGACGUUACCUCAUGAAUAAGGGGCUCCCAACUCUGUGCCAGCAGGAGCGGUAAUACAGAGGCCCCAAGCAUUAUCCGGAUUCACUGGGCGUAAAGGGUGCGUAGGCGGUCAUAUUAGUCGGGUGUAAAAUCUUUGGGCUCAACCCAAAGCUCGCAUUCGAAACGGUAUGACUAGAGGAAGUGAGAGGUAAGCAGAACUCAUGGUGUAGGGGUGAAAUCCGUUGAUAUCAUGGGGAAUACCAAAUGCGAAGGCAGCUUACUGGCACUUUCCUGACGCUGAGGCACGAAAGCAUGGGUAGCGAACGGGAUUAGAUACCCCGGUAGUCCAUGCCCUAAACGUUGUCAACUGGCUUUGGGGGGAAUCGACCCCCUCCGAGGCGAAGCUAACGCGUUAAGUUGACCGCCUGGGUAGUACGAGCGCAAGCUUAAAACUCAAAGGAAUAGACGGGGGCUCGCACAAGCGGUGGAUCAUGAGGCUUAAUUCGUCGAUAAGCGAAAAACCUUACCGAGGCUAGAAACCAUACUGCACGCCUCCCGAAAGGGAGGAAGCCUUCGAGGGUGUAUGGCAGGUGAUGCAUGGCCGUCGUCAGUUCGUGGCUUGAGUUGUUCCCUUAAGUGGGGAAACGAACGCAACCCUCGUUGCCUGUUACAAGUGUCAGGCGAGACUGCUCCCUCACGGGAGAGGAAGGUGAGGAUGACGCCAGGUCAGCAUGUCCCUUGAUGCCUCGGGCUGCACUCGUGAUACAAUGGGACACACAAGGGGACGCAAUACCGCAAGGUGGAGCAAAUCCUGAUAAAAGGUCCCCCAGUUCGGGUUGUGGGCUGCAACUCGCCCGCAUGAAGCCGGAAUCGCUAGUAAUCGUAAAUCAGCACGUCACGGUGAAUACGUUCCCGAGCCUUGUACUCACCGCCCGUCAAGUCAGGGGAGUCGGGAGUGCCCGAAGUC